rnacentral:lncRNA from 1 species
AAUAAUCCCUUUACGAUGCAGAUUGCAACCAUUCCAUUCUUCCUUCCUAUGGCCAACAGCCAUCCUUCAAAUGAUGACCCUCUCCAAGCUCAAAGUUCUCCACCAAGUAACACAAGGCUACUGGACGAUACUCCGCCUUCCUAGCCUGACAGGACUGACAAGUAGAACGUUCAUUCUGCUUAUGCUCUACUAGCAUAGCCUUCAGGAACUCAGGGGGCCCUGCACAGCAAGAUGGGGCAGUAGAGUAGGAUUUUGUAACAAGUCCACAUUGAAAUUGAAAGCAGCAGGACAAGAGGAAGACCCAAUACAAGAUGGAUUGACACCGUAAAGGAAGCCACAGCCUAGAAUUUACAACAGCUGUGUGGAGCUGUUGAAGACAGGACAUUUUGGAAGUCACUCAUUCAUAGGGUCACCAUAAGUUGGAGGCAAUUUGACAGCACAUAACCACUACCACUUUGAAAGGGAGAAAUUAUGGAGUGUCAGAACCUGACAGACUGGAAUUGUGGUUUAUGUGGAUGGAAUGCCACACAUGGGACUCCAGUAGGUAUUCCUGUCAUUAAUUUCAGGUACAGUCCCUGGGCUGUAACAUUGCAGCCCUUAGGAGGGAGCUCUUAGGUGACACAGGAGUGAGGGUGGAUUUUGUCCCUUCCCUUCCCUUACCCACAGCAGCUGAUCCUCACAGUCACAAUGCCCAAUGAGGACCAUAAAGAGUCCUGAGCCAAAUUAAAAGCAAACAUCUUAUAUUUGGUAUGUGUUCAAAGAAUGCAACCCACCACGUCAGAUAAUGUGAUACUGUUUUUUCUGCAAUAGGCUACCCCACUGGAAAUUAACAUAACAAAGUUGUGCACACAAUAAAAGCCUCUCAGAAAGAGAGAAUGACCAAACAAGUGAUUGUUCUUGCAUCUGGGGAGGGGGAAGUAGAGAGCAGCCCCCAGUUACCCAGUGCUGUCAAAACCUCAAAUGGCUGUUGCAUCACAGCAGAAAGGAUGCCUCAGCAGUUCCCCAAUAUGCUAAGACUGGGGCUGAUCCUGCCGACAGAACCAUGGGGCAAUCGGCUUGGGAUGUUGCUCUGCCCACUUUCACUGUUGCUGGGUACAGAUGUUCCAUUUUCUACUUCCAGGUGCCCAGAAGCUCUUAUAGUGGGAGCAGUUCUUAGUUGCAGGGCACUGUAGCUGGUGGGGAUGCAGCCAGGUCACUUUGCAAAACAGACACCCACCAAACUGCUCUCUCUGGUUCUAUGGGCAGACACAAGGACCCCCCUGUUGUUAGGCAGGGACAGUGGAAGCAGUACAGUGGAAGCAAUACUCUAUAUUCCCAUCCAUUCAACAGCACAUACCCUCCUACCCUUUGAUUUACUCUAGACAAAGUCCUCUCUAGAAUGGCUCUGCUUUUGCUGGGAAACACACCCGCCCACACCCGCCACCCCAAAUAGAACAGAAAUCUAGCAAACACCUCUUUGGGCUGUCUAGUUUUUGUACUCUCUACCUUGACUGCUGGCAGACAUACUCCAAAAACAAAACUCUUUCCCAGGCCUAUCUGGAAAUUCCAGGGGUUGGAUGCGGGACUUUUACAUGUAAAGGACAUGCUCUCCCACUAAGCUAUGACCCUUUCUUGCUGACAGAGGGCUGGGCCUAUGCUGGAAAUCAUCACUGGCAUUCUCCACAUGUCCCACAAACCCUCUCCUCACACCAGGCAGAUGAUGGAUUAAUUCACUCCCACAUAGCCGCCGAGAGUAGACCAUGCUAAUCUGUUUGUGGGCACACAGCCCAUUUCUUACCUCCAGCCCUCUGUUCCACUUUGUGCUUCGCCUGCUUGCAGGUUAAGGGGCUGCAAUGACUUGGCUCAGCAGAACCUCCCCUUAGGGUUCCCCACUGGCCUCUCCUCUUGGCAGCCUUGGCCAGGGAUCUGUCCCCGGCUGUCUUACAGGCUUCCCUGACAGUGAAGGGCACCAACGAGCAUCCAGGUCUGACAUCCCCUCCUCUUCCUGGCCUGCUGUUGCACAUAAGCCCCUUUGCUCGGUUUCUUGCUGGCUGCACUUGCCCUCAGCUGCUCUCGCUUGCCUCUAAUUAGCUCUUCCAAUGAAGUGAGCCAAACGGGGUGCUGCUCUUGGCACAGGAUCUAAACUGGCAUCACUUGACAAAUUGCCAACACAAUCUCUUUGGGCUUAUAUAA